CCUACGGGGGGCAGCAGUGAGGAAUAUUGGUCAAUGGCCGAGAGGCUGAACCAGCCAAGUCGCGUGAAGGAUGAAUGUCCUAUGGAUUGUAAACUUCUUUUAUCAGGGAACAAAAUCAUCCACGUGUGGGUGUUUGUAUGUACCUGAAGAAAAAGCAUCGGCUAACUCCGUGCCAGCAGCCGCGGUAAUACGGAGGAUCCGAGCGUUAUCCGGAUUUAUUGGGUUUAAAGGGUGCGUAGGCGGUUUAUUAAGUCAGUGGUAAAAGCUUGGGGCUAAACACCAUCGAGCAGUUGAAACUGGCGGUCUUGAGUAGGCGAGAGGUAGGCGGAAUUCGUGGUGUAGCGGUGAAAUGCGUAGAUAUCGCGCAGAACUCCGAUUGCGAAGGCAGCAUACCGGCGUCCAACUGACGCUGAGGCACGAAAGCGUGGGUAUCGAACAGGAUUAGAUACCCGUGUAGUC
rnacentral:rRNA from 1 species